rnacentral:rRNA from 1 species
GAUGAACGCUAGCUACAGGCUUAACACAUGCAAGUCGAGGGGUAGCAGGGUAGCAAUACCGCUGACGACCGGCGCACGGGUGAGUAACACGUAUCCAACCUUCCCAUAACCCGGGGAUAGCCUUUCGAAAGAAAGAUUAAUACCCGAUAGUACUUUAUUAAGGCAUCUUACGAACGUUAAAGAUUUAUUGGGUAUGGAUGGGGAUGCGUUCCAUUAGAUAGUUGGUGAGGUAACGGCUCACCAAGUCUUCGAUGGAUAGGGGUUCUGAGAGGAAGGUCCCCCACAUUGGUACUGAGACACGGACCAAACUCCUACGGGAGGCAGCAGUGAGGAAUAUUGGUCAAUGGGCGAGAGCCUGAACCAGCCAAGUAGCGUGAAGGAUGAAGGUCCUAUGGAUUGUAAACUUCUUUUAUAGUAGAAUAAAGUGAACCACGUGUGGUUUUUUGUAUGUAUACUAUGAAUAAGGAUCGGCUAACUCCGUGCCAGCCGCCGCAGUAA